rnacentral:rRNA from 1 species
UCAGGCCUAACACAUGCAAGUCGUACGAGGUGUAAAUAAUUCACUUGUGAAUUGUUUAUUACUACAGUGGCGCACGGGUGAGUAACACGUAAGAACCUGCCUUUUGGAGGGGGAUAACAUAGGGAAACCUUUGCUAAUACCCCAUAAAGCUGAGGAGCUAAAUCGCAUUUGCGGCCAAGAGAGGGGCUUGCGCCUGAUUAGCUAGUUGGGGAGGUAACGGCUUCCCAAGGCCACGAUCAGUAGUUGGUCUGAGAGGAUGAUCAGCCACACUGGGACUGAGACACGGCCCAGACUCCUACGGGAGGCAGCAGUGAGGAAUUUUCCGCAAUGGGCGAAAGCCUGACGGAGCAAUACCGCGUGAAGGAAGAAGGAUCGUGGUCUGUAAACUUCUUUCUCAGAGAAGAAGAU